rnacentral:lncRNA from 1 species
CAUGCUAGACUCAAAAAUGCAAAUAAAUAAAGAAAAAUAAUGCAAGUCUUUCUAAACAAAUAAAUGGAACCCAACAAUGACUAAACUAUCAAUUUAAGAAGGAAUGUUUUAAAAAUAAUAAUAAUAGUAAAAAAUAAUAAGAAUUAUUAUAGCCGACUUCACAAUUACGCUAAUUCUUAUUUAAAUUAAUUAAAUUUCUUAACUCCUAAACUCUCAUUGUUAUACAAGUAACACUAAAA